AAUAUUGGACAAUGGGGGCAAUCCUGAUCCAGCCAUGCCGCGUGUGUGAAGAAGGUCUUCGGAUUGUAAAGCACGUUAGGUUGGGAGUAAGGGCUUUAGGCUAAUACCCUGAAGUUUUGACGUUACCAACAGAAUAAUUACCGGCUAACUCUGUGCCAGCAGCCGCGGUAAUACAUAGGGUGCAAGCGUUAAUCGGAAUUACUGGGCGGAAAGCGCGCGUAGGUUGUUCAGUAAGAUGGGUGUGAAAUCCCCGGGCUUAACCUGGGAACUGCUUUCAUAACUGCUGAGCUAGAGUACGGUAGAGGGUAGUGGAAUUUCCUGUGUAGCGGUGAAAUGCGUAGAUAUAGGAAGGAACACCAGUGGCGAAGGCGACUACCUGGACUGAUACUGACACUGAGGUGCGAAAGCGUGGGGAGCAAACA
rnacentral:rRNA from 1 species